CCAUCUCUCAGCCCUGUGCUCCCAGCAUCACUCAAGGGCAGCGGCUUCUCCCUCCCCGGGGCCUCGCACCUAGCAGCGGUAACCCAAAUCGGGUGGGAUCCAGCGAGGUGCAGCAACCUUGGGGGGUGCGCGGGGAUCUGCCCCGGUGCCCUCCGCCUCCCCACGCCAGGAAGAUUUCUCUGGGGCCGUGCCAGGCUUACGUAAAGCCCAGCGAGCUGCAAUAACAACAAGGCUGUUUGGCUGGCUGAGGCCGAGCCGCUGCCAACGUCCCGUCCCCUUACACGCUGCGCGGGCUUCGGGCAUCUCGCGGGGACCCGGCUCAGGAGAGGAGUCGCCGCUGGCACCCACCCGGCGUUUCGGGAAAGAGCUCUGAGCUUUGGGAAGAGUCCUGGGUUGCAGAUGAGAAGGGCUUUAAGCGGGGAACGGUCACGCCGGGCCAGACCCCAGCGGUGCCCGUGGUGCCGGCUCAGAGCGGGACCGCUGCGGGAUGCCCGGGGAUGGAUAGCCAACAUAAUGAGAGUGCGAGGAAGAGUGCAGAGGAAGGCUGGCUCAGGUGGGCUGGAGACUUUGCUUUGCUAAGAGAGGGACGGCGAAGGCACGUGGGGCCCCUCCUGCAUCCCGGACUGGCAUUUGCUGGUCACUGGUGGCUGGAAAGGUGUGAGGAGCCCUCCUUUGCUCUCCUGAGACCUUACAAACUCCUGCCACUGAUGAGACAAGUGAGAUCACCUCUAGCUGCAGGAGACCAUCAUCCUGGUCACAGUGCUGCUCCCUUAUGAGGUGGAGAGCAACGAGGGGACAGGGUUGAAGAGAAAUGAAGGAGGGUUGGCAUUUGGGGCAGUGCCAUACAAAUGGGAUGUCACUGGUUGCUCCUUACAGCCAAGCCCAUCCCAGUUACCUCUGGGGAAGCAGAGGUCCCACCAGUGGGAUCUCUUUGAUCUCCCAGGAGAUAGUGGGGAGAGCAGCUGUAAGAGGGAAGCCCACCCUGACCCACCAUCACUGGGGAAGUGUGGAGGAGGAGGAGACUGAAGCCUCUUCCCCUAAAACCCAGCAGUGAAACGCACCGUGCUGCUCGCGGAGCUGAGGAUUUUAAUCCUAUUUCUCAAAUCGUUUUGUUCGUUGUCACAACCACUUGAGAUUUCAGCUCCUUUCCCAGAGUUUUCUCAACCAAACGCUCGCCCUGGCAGUCUGGAUCUGGCCCUGGAUGACUUUUAUGAGGGACCUUCUGGAGGAAAGCGUGUUGGAUGGGUGCUGCUGGGGAUGGGAUGGGCCCUGGUGAUGGAGAGAUCAAACCUUCUGCUCACGGGAGCGUCUGAGCGCUGGAUGCUCUUCAGAGAAGAGGGAAAUCCCGGGAAGAAUGGGAGUGCAACGGGCCCUGGAGAGCCCUCGUGAAGGAGGAAAGCUCAGGUGGUGGUUCCACAGGGCAGAAGUCCUCUUCUCCUUCCCCACAGGUGCCCAAGGAAGUCCCCUGGGGAAGCAGCCAGCCCAGGGGCUGAGCUGAAAUCAGCCCUUCCCCAAAGCUGGGACCAUUGCUCAGGCUCUCUUUUGAGUUUUCCUACAAGGACUCUCUUUCCCGAGAGCUGAGCGUGCCUGGGCUGCCAGAGGACACAGGACCUCUAGCUCUCUGGAGCUGCACGUGGCGUGGGCAACCGUUGGGAGCAGGACCUUGGGGCAAAGGAGGAGAGAAACCAGUGUCACAGGAGAUAUCCUCUGGGCACCAGCAUCUCCGGGUCCGGGGCCAGAAAGCAUCAUCUCUUCUAGGAUCAUCCAGUCGUUGGCCAUGGUUUGGCCUUUGGGACCGCCAUGUCCUCACAGCUGCUGGGAAGGCUGGAAGGCUGGAGCUGCUUAAUAAAAUCCCCGUUUUCUUCUUCCCAGCCGAGGGCUGCCUCGUUGCUCUCUCUGCCUGCACCAGACAGACCACCCACUGCCUUGCAUCCAGCUUUGGAGGCUGUGUCCCAGGACCACGGCCACAGGCAGAGCUGGAUCCAGCCCCUUCCCAUGGCCAGCUCAGUAAUCCAGAUGGCUCAUCCACGGGAUGCCGUGACCCAGAUCACGUCCCUCCUCCCACUCUGGCUACGGGAGAGCCCUUGCUGGGAAUGCAGCAGCUUCUGGCCACCGUGGCUCCUGCCAUCCGGCGCUGGCAUCAGCCGACACCGGGAAUUUAACUGCGCACGGGGAUGAAGGGCAAAGCCCCACUUCAUCUCUCUUCCAACCCAUCUGAAACUAGGCAUCGCUCCACGCAGUUGGCAGCGGUUCAUCCUCACUCAGGCGGCCAAAGAUUGCACUAAAAAGCCUGGGAAAGAGCAGAGAGAAGGGGACGGUUGUUGGGCUGGGAAGAGAGGGACUCCUCGCCUCUUGCAGGCACCCGGGGAAAGUCACGCUCCAGCCAAAAAUUGGGCACGGGCUCCUGCGGUACCCAGGACGCUCCCGGCAUUUGCAUUUUGAGCAGCAAAAGGGCAAGAGGCAUCACAGGGGGGGAAAUGAAGAAGAGAGGGAUUAUUCAAGGAUGAAGCGUGAAUCAUAGGGUACGACUGGAGGUUGCUUUCCAGGAGGCCAGAGGAGCAAAGCACUGAGUUAAAAUGCAAGCAGUGAUGCCUGGCAAAAUGGGAUGGAGAUGCGCUCAUCUCUGUGGCUUCGCUCCAGGUCUGUGGGCCGUGCAGCUCUGAGCAAAGCCAAGGUCGCCUGGAGGUGGCACGGGCUCAGCAGCUCCCACUCGGGAAUGUCUCGAGGGGACUUGCUUUUCCAAGAGUCUUUUUGCUCUUUCUGCUGUCUGGAUUUGAGCAGCUGAAGAUGAAGGUGGUCGUGGUUUCCCAAAACAUCCUGCCUGCACCGGAGCUGGGAGCUGGAGAACUCGAGGGAGCAUUUUCGGACCAAAAGUAGGUAUCUGCCGAUCGCAGGCUGUGAUGCAGAUGCCCGAAGGUAGGUGUCUUUCGCCAUGCCCUCCGGUCUCAUCUGCUAGCCCACAAAACCACGGCUCUGCCACGAAUCUCUCGCUAUCUCACCCAGCCCAGCGGGAUGUCUUGGGCACCCUCCCAGGUCCCGCGGGCACCCCAAGUGGAUCUGGCCACCCACGUUUGGGUGACCGACUUGAGUACGUAACGUCGCGAGAGGUUGUUCACACCCCCCCUUCUGCUCAAAAGGCAUUUCCAAAAUGCAGCUCGUCUUGGUUCAUUCAAAGCACAGCAAGCUUAUCCCGUUGCACCCAGGAACUCCUGCUUUUCUUCAGGGAUUCCCAAUGGGUGGGAGGGUGAGCAGCUUCGGUGCAGCUGUGUGAAGCUGGGUGUGGAGGCUGCUACGCUGAGGAGUUGCCAAGCUCCAGGCGUGGCUUGUCAGCCUGGACUUUCCCGGGAAAUACAUUAAUGAGGAGCACCAGGCACUGGGAUGGGUGCGCUGGGUCCGUCCCCGUGGGACUUCUCCAAGCAAACCCAACCCAGAGGGGAGUGGAGCGAGCGGUGGGUUGGGAGGACAGUCCCUUGCACCAGGGCUGCGUCUGCAAGGUCACUCGGAAGCUGGGUGCUGGUGUAACUGGUUUCGUGGACCUACACGCAACGCCAAGAAGACCAGGCUGGGUCUCCCAGAGGCUGCGUCGCCCGCUGUAACACCACUGGUGUAAGAUGGUGGGGGGUAGCCCAAGCACGGACCCAAGCCCAGAGCAAAUGCCACGUGUCCCUGAGCAAGGAGGGGACAGGCAGAGGGCAGGGACAAGGCUCCGUCGAUGCUCGGCUCAACUUCUGUUGACUUGUGAGUUGCUGUUGGGUCUCAACUCAUCAGCAGCCCACGGGGCUCGGGCUUCUGCUUCCAAGGGGGGUAAGUGGUCUGUGGAGUAAGAGAGGAUGUAAAAUUGGGAUCUCCUGCCCACAGGUAAAACCUUCUGCUUGUCCUGAGCACUCCCUGACGUAUCCUCGUUAACCUGCUCUUAAAAACCUCCCUUCACUGACCUUGGAUGGUCCAGACCAGCAGUUUGCUCUUCUUUCUAGAAAGAUUUUCGUUAACUUUCACCUCCCUUGCUGCGUUUCAAGCCUGGGUUUUUCUGCUGGCCACCAGGCCACCGGGGACAGCACAGCCCCUUCUUAUUUGCAGGCAUAUUUUUUGCAUUUGAAAACCCGGGUCAGGUCUUUUUGGUCUCUUCUCUACUCUCUGGCAAGUCCCAUUCCUCCCGACUGCUGUUGCAGGUCAUGUUUUCUGGACCGCUGGAAGCGAUCGGAGCAAAGGCAGCGGUGAACUGGUGUGGGACCUCCGACCGUCUGCCCUGGCCCUGGCAGUGAGCGCAGGCGAAGAAAAGCCAUGAAGCCGCCCGAGCUCUCGGUUGCCGCACCAAGAGUUGUUUGAAGCAAGAACAGAAAAACACCGGGGAGCCGGAGAGAGGCAUGAGAGCCACAAGCACCUGAUACGGCAGCAGAGGAAUGAAAUCAGAGAAAAUCCAAUUUCCCCCGAGCAGGCUUCUGCUUCACAGAAAACCUUGCAAAUGAGCGUGGAAAAGCCACAUUCUGGCUCAUCUCCUCCCGGAUCUGAGGCCACAAGAGACUUUGCCACCCUCCUGACCUCGCUCUGUCCCCUUCACCUCAACUCCUCAAGGCAGGUCUGGACCCCACAGGGUCCCCCCAUGGGCAGGACACCCCCUCCCCAGCUUCGGUGAUUCUCCCCUCCCAGCACCAGCAGCUGCCACAGCAGUUUCUUCAUCUUUUCCCCACAACAACAUCCUCCGUCCACUCCGUUAUCCGUGGGGCUCUGCCCCUGGUGCCACGAGCUGCCCUCGCCGUGCCCCGCUUCUGCCGGCGGAUUGUCACGUUGCAGGCAGCCCCCACCACUCUGCAUCCAGCAGAUGAGGGCUAGGAGGGAUGAAAAGACAGACACGGCCCCCCCUCAUCCUCCAGCUGCUCCCCGUGACUUCUCCAGAACCACUUUUGGGGCUCAAGCAAGACAUUUGAAGGACAGAAGCUGCCUCGGAUGCCCAGGACCAGGCUGUGCUUUGGCUGGCAGGAGGAGCAUCCCCACCAGGAUGAUGCCCAAGGUCGAUUUUGCCGGUCGGACACGGAUGAAAGCCCCGAGCCCCUCCGCUUCCCUCCUCUGAUACAGGCUGGCGUUGCACCAACGGACUCGAACUCCAACUUAAUUGCCCUCCCUUUCUUUCUUUAUUGUUUCGACGAAAAGGGAUCUGAAGAAUAAACUCCCAACAGCUAUUUUAAGGGGAACAACCUAAUGCACAAAAAAGCCCACGUUUCUGCCAAAAUGGCAUCGCGACGCGGCGACGCGCUUGGCUUCUCCUGAAACGGAGCCCCAUGUCCAAUUUAGGUGAAAAUAUUUGCCAUCAGAGGCAGAUACCACAGGGUUCUCCCAGACCCAUCUCCUUGGAUAGUCACCCUCGCAGGACACGAUGGCUCUUGCCUCGUGCCCCGUCCCCGUGGGGCAGGGAGGGGAGGUUUGAGGCCAGGCUGGUGGCCCCACGCCCCGUCACGGCCCCCUUGGUGCGUUCCACCUGGACGGAUGGGGUGGAUGGCAGCUCUGGAUGAGUUGAGGUGGUGCUUUUUUGUGGGGAGGGGACCGGCUUCUGGCCCCUCCGUGACGCCCCAGCGCCGCGCAGACGCAGGCAGCGCAGACGCGGGGGGGCGUGCUCUCCUUCACCUUGAGAACACGACAGCUGAGGGGAGCCAUCAAAUAUUGAUGUUUUCCAUUUACGAGGCCCUCGGAGCCGGGCUGCGGUCAGCAGAGGGGGAGGCUGAUGCUCUCCAUCUCCUCCAGAGUCGUGCCGACGAUCGAUGACGGCGCUGGGAAGAAGAACGGGAACCUCCCUGGUGCCCUUGUCCCCGUCCCGUCGGCUGCGGGCUGGAGGUGACAUCGGUCCUUGCUCUUGCCACUUCGCCUGGUGAAACCAGUGAUUUUCUGCACCCUCCUCAGCAUGUCCCAGCUUGCCAUCGUGCUUUCCCAGCACCUGGGGAGAAGCAAAACCAACCAGCAGCCCCAAGCUGCCGAGACCGGCUCCCCUUCCGCGGCAGCACAAGGUCCCUGCGGACGGUUUUCCAUCGGGGCUGAAGGACGUGGGGAACGGCACCAUCAAGAGCACAGGCUCGGCAGGAGAUGCUGCAAAAUACCAGGGACAUUUGGCACUGGCAGAGGGCUUUGCUAUCGCUGCGGCACGCUGAGGGCCACGGGUGGGCUUGGCCAUUUUCGGGGAACGGAAUGGGUUUGGCUGGCGUCAGGGUUUCUUUUCACUUGCACUGGAUUUUUUUAAUCAUUUCCAAGCACCUGCUGAGGGCUGCUGUGAAGGACAGGAUCCCAAAUCCUUGUUUUUAGCGUCUCUGCAGGAAGGGCACAGGGUGGAAGCUUGCAUCGGCUCUCAGUCCCAAGGAGCUCUCAGGAUUCUGCUUGAGGGUCCCUGGGCUUGGUGCCUACAAGCCCAGCGCCCUUGGCUGGGGCUACACCGUGAACGAAGGACACCAGAAAGUCCUCCUGGAGCACGGUCCUCUCCUGAACAUUUUCCAGUGUCCCCUGCCACCACCCACCACCAACACAGUCCCCAGUGUCCCAGCUGGCCCCGUGGCACACAGGGUGCACCCAGCCCACAGCUCCCACCCCCCCGCCCCUCCGUCCCCGGGAGGGACGAGCGUGGCACGAGCACCCUGGGCAACACCACCGCAAGCCUGCAGAGCAAAGCUGCUAAAAAUACCCUCCACGCCUCGGAGCGGUGACAGCUAAAGCCUCCUCCCCCUGAUUUACAGCAUCUCCAGCUGCAGCGUUGGCUCCCCGGGGCAUUGUGGCCGCACUGAUCCCUGCGGCAUCGUGGAGGUGGUUGACUUUCAGGGUGACUUUCCCCAUCGAGAGCAGGCGAGAAGCCUGCGUGACGUGGCCUCUCCUCCGGGAUAGGAGCCGACAUCCAACCAUCCGACACAACCCCACCACAAGCCACCCAGAGAAGCUUGGAGGGGCCACGGGAUGGGAAGGAGGUGACAGGGAGGUGGCAAGCCAGAGCCUGGGCAGGAGCUGCCUUAGAGCCAGAUGUCCUCAGGGGACACCAGUUUGGUUUUGGAAGGGAGAAGAGGUUCCCUACACCCCUGUGUGUGCACAGCUGGUUGGGGAGCAGCACCCAGAGCCUGAGAUUUGGCCUCUUGUAGCCGACAGCAACUUAACCCGGAAUUUUGCAGCAGCGUGAGCCGAGCUUUGCACGUGAGGGUGCCGAAAGCCCAGUCCUGGGGUCAGAAACCAGUGUGAGCUGGUGGCUCAAGUUCCUGCCUGGCCGGUCCUCCCCAUCCAGCGCUGCCAGCACUGGGACAUCGGGAGCAUUUGCAGCUGAAACCCUGACCUCUUUGGGACACCUACCCCUGACAGGUCCCUUGGGGUUGGAGCCCCGCACCCCUCGGCACCCCUAACCUUUCCCCAGCCCCCCCUGCAGAUUGGGGACAGGCCAGGAUGUCCCCACAUGUGGAGCACGGGCAGAUCCCGCCAUCCGAGGUGGCUCAUCCUCUGUGGCAGCUUUCGGGGUCCUGUGUUUUGGGGGAGGCACCAUCACCAAGGGGAGCACAGGGAUAUGAAGGAGCCUUGAGCCGCGCGUCCUUCUCUGCUUGAACCCCCCUCCCCGAUCCCAAAAGUCCGAGGGGAUGACACGCUGAGUGUCGUGGUUUAACUCCUGCUGCUCCCCUCGAGCUGGGAGAGCCCAGCUCAGCCUCACUUACAGAAAUGGUAAAUUCGACCUGGACUUACCCCGUUUGAAUAACUGGCUUCCCCUGCGAGGAGUGGGGAGACUGGAAGAUCCCCAGACCCGCAGACAUUUGUCAGAGGGCUUUGCCGUGUGGGAGGCGAUGCUGUCAUCCCCAGCCCGUGCAAUCCCAAGUGGCUCCAUUCAGAAAUCAUCGGUGAUGCAAAAAAAAAAAAAAAAAAAAAAAAAAAAGAUGGAAAAGCAUCUGAAAUGGAGGAAACGCCAGAAUCCCGGUUGCCCAGACAACGAGUUUGGACCCCCUUGUCCGCACGCCUGAUGACUCAAUCCUUAAUGACACGACCGAGGACCGUUUCUGCCUGCAGGAACCCCAGCUCACCCGGGGAGCAGCAGCGUUCGCGGCCGACGCCUGAGCAGGCACAGCCCACGUCUUGCCCCCUCCGGGCCCACCAAGGGUGGCUCCCUGUUGAAGGCAAAGGACGGCUUUUUGCCCCAUGACCAAAGGAGCAUCACGCUGGGAUCGGGGCCAGCUAAGUCCUGGGGACACUGGGGACACGGGACCAGAGGCUCCGACUCCUGCAAGGACGCCCAAGGAAGGGAAUCCAAGAGGCAGCAGCAGUUACAAGGCUGCAUCACCCACAUCUUGGAGAGGUUUGGCCUUUUCCUCUGGUUUCCAGCACUGCGAGAAAGUCACCAGCAACACCCACUUGUGACUUCUAUUUAAAAUCCCGUCAUGCAAUGCUUUUUGGUUUGUUUUGCUUUGGUUUGUUUUGUUUUGGGUCUUUUACGCUUGCCAUCUGCCAGCAUCCAUUCUUCCCAAACCCCACUCCCACGGGGGGGUUUGGAUUGGGGACUAAAAACGCUGGGCAGGGAAUAAAUAAUUCAUUGGGCAAA